GGCGGGGUAGCUCAGCCGGUUAGAGCAGCGGAAUCAUAAUCCGCGUGUCGGGGGUUCGAGUCCCUCUCCCGCU
rnacentral:tRNA from 1 species